rnacentral:rRNA from 1 species
UCAAGUGAAUAAGUGCAUCAGGCGGAUGCCUUGGCGAUGAUAGGCGACGAAGGACGUGUAAGCCUGCGAAAAGCGCGGGGGAGCUGGCAAUAAAGCUAUGAUUCCGCGAUGUCCGAAUGGGGAAACCCACUGCAUUCUGUGCAGUAUCCUAAGUUGAAUACAUAGGCUUAGAGAAGCGAACCCGGAGAACUGAACCAUCUAAGUACCCGGAGGAAAAGAAAUCAACCGAGAUUCCGCAAGUAGUGGCGAGCGAACGCGGAGGAGCCUGUACGUAAUAACUGUCGAGAUAGAAGAACAAGCUGGGAAGCUUGACCAUAGCGGGUGACAGUCCCGUAUUCGAAAUCUCAACAGCGGUACUAAGCGUACGAAAAGUAGGGCGGGACACGUGAAAUCCUGUCUGAAUAUGGGGGGACCAUCCUCCAAGGCUAAAUACUCAUCAUCGACCGAUAGUGAACCAGUACCGUGAGGGAAAGGCGAAAAGAACCCCGGGAGGGGAGUGAAACAGAACCUGAAACCUGAUGCAUACAAACAGUGGGAGCGCCCUAGUGGUGUGACUGCGUACCUUUUGUAUAAUGGGUCAACGACUUACAUUCAGUAGCGAGCUUAACCGGAUAGGGGAGGCGUAGGGAAACCGAGUCUUAAUAGGGCGAUGAGUUGCUGGGUGUAGACCCGAAACCGAGUGAUCUAUCCAUGGCCAGGUUGAAGGUGCCGUAACAGGUACUGGAGGACCGAACCCACGCAUGUUGCAAAAUGCGGGGAUGAGCUGUGGGUAGGGGUGAAAGGCUAAACAAACUCGGAGAUAGCUGGUUCUCCCCGAAAACUAUUUAGGUAGUGCCUCGAGCAAGACACUGAUGGGGGUAAAGCACUGUUAUGGCUAGGGGGUUAUUGCAACUUACCAACCCAUGGCAAACUCAGAAUACCAUCAAGUGGUUCCUCGGGAGACAGACAGCGGGUGCUAACGUCCGUUGUCAAGAGGGAAACAACCCAGACCGCCGGCUAAGGUCCCAAAUGAUAGAUUAAGUGGUAAACGAAGUGGGAAGGCACAGACAGCCAGGAUGUUGGCUUAGAAGCAGCCAUCAUUUAAAGAAAGCGUAAUAGCUCACUGGUCGAGUCGUCCUGCGCGGAAGAUGUAACGGGGCUCAAAUCUAUAACCGAAGCUGCGGAUGCCGGUUUACCGGCAUGGUAGGGGAGCGUUCUGUAGGCUGAUGAAGGUGCAUUGUAAAGUGUGCUGGAGGUAUCAGAAGUGCGAAUGUUGACAUGAGUAGCGAUAAAGCGGGUGAAAAGCCCGCUCGCCGAAAGCCCAAGGUUUCCUACGCAACGUUCAUCGGCGUAGGGUGAGUCGGCCCCUAAGGCGAGGCAGAAAUGCGUAGUCGAUGGGAAACAGGUUAAUAUUCCUGUACUUGAUUCAAAUGCGAUGUGGGGACGGAGAAGGUUAGGUUGGCAAGCUGUUGGAAUAGCUUGUUUAAGCCGGUAGGUGGAAGACUUAGGCAAAUCCGGGUUUUCUUAACACCGAGAAGUGAUGACGAGUGUCUACGGACACGAAGCAACCGAUACCACGCUUCCAGGAAAAGCCACUAAGCUUCAGUUUGAAUCGAACCGUACCGCAAACCGACACAGGUGGGCAGGAUGAGAAUUCUAAGGCGCUUGAGAGAACUCGGGAGAAGGAACUCGGCAAAUUGAUACCGUAACUUCGGGAGAAGGUAUGCCCUCUAAGGUUAAGGACUUGCUCCGUAAGCCCCGGAGGGUCGCAGAGAAUAGGUGGCUGCGACUGUUUAUUAAAAACACAGCACUCUGCCAACACGAAAGUGGACGUAUAGGGUGUGACGCCUGCCCGGUGCCGGAAGGUUAAUUGAAGAUGUGCAAGCAUCGGAUCGAAGCCCCGGUAAACGGCGGCCGUAACUAUAACGGUCCUAAGGUAGCGAAAUUCCUUGUCGGGUAAGUUCCGACCCGCACGAAUGGCGUAACGAUGGCCACACUGUCUCCUCCCGAGACUCAGCGAAGUUGAAGUGGUUGUGAAGAUGCAAUCUACCCGCUGCUAGACGGAAAGACCCCGUGAACCUUUACUGUAGCUUUGCAUUGGACUUUGAAGUCACUUGUGUAGGAUAGGUGGGAGGCUUGGAAGCAGAGACGCCAGUCUCUGUGGAGUCGUCCUUGAAAUACCACCCUGGUGUCUUUGAGGUUCUAACCCAGACCCGUCAUCCGGGUCGGGGACCGUGCAUGGUAGGCAGUUUGACUGGGGCGGUCUCCUCCCAAAGCGUAACGGAGGAGUUCGAAGGUUACCUAGGUCCGGUCGGAAAUCGGACUGAUAGUGCAAUGGCAAAAGGUAGCUUAACUGCGAGACCGACAAGUCGGGCAGGUGCGAAAGCAGGACAUAGUGAUCCGGUGGUUCUGUAUGGAAGGGCCAUCGCUCAACGGAUAAAAGGUACUCCGGGGAUAACAGGCUGAUUCCGCCCAAGAGUUCAUAUCGACGGCGGAGUUUGGCACCUCGAUGUCGGCUCAUCACAUCCUGGGGCUGUAGUCGGUCCCAAGGGUAUGGCUGUUCGCCAUUUAAAGUGGUACGUGAGCUGGGUUUAAAACGUCGUGAGACAGUUUGGUCUCUAUCUGCAGUGGGCGUUGGAAGUUUGACGGGGGCUGCUCCUAGUACGAGAGGACCGGAGUGGACGAACCUCUGGUGUACCGGUUGUAACGCCAGUUGCAUAGCCGGGUAGCUAAGUUCGGAAGAGAUAAGCGCUGAAAGCAUCUAAGCGCGAAACUCGCCUGAAGAUGAGACUUCCCUUGCGGUUUAACCGCACUAAAGGGUCGUUCGAGACCAGGACGUUGAUAGGUGGGGUGUGGAAGCGCGGUAACGCGUGAAGCUAACCCAUACUAAUUGCCCGUGAGGCUUGACUCU